CUUGAAUUCCUAUAAGAGGUCCAGCCUGCCCAGUGACUUUGUUCAACGGCCGCGGUAUCCUAACCGUGCGAAGGUAGCGUAAUCACUUGUCUUUUAAAUGAGGACUUGUAUGAAUGGCAUCACGAGGGUUAUACUGUCUCCUUUUUCUAAUCAGUGAAACUAAUCUUCCCGUGAAGAAGCGGGAAUAAAUAUAUAAGACGAGAAGACCCUAUGGAGCUUUAAACUUAAUAACAAAUACUAACCUUACUUCAACUUCCAGAACAUUAAUCUUAAUUUUAGUAUUGUGUUUAUUAGUUUUAGGUUGGGGUGACCGCGGAGUAAAAAUUAACCUCCAUAUUGAAUAGGACUCGUCCUUGAGCUGAGAACUACAACCCUAAGCACCAAUAAAUUGACAUUAAUUGACCCAAUAUUUUGAUCAACGAAC
rnacentral:rRNA from 1 species